rnacentral:tRNA from 2 species
GCCGGCGUAGCUCAGCGGCAGAGCAGCCGCUUCGUAAGCGGCGGGUCGGAGGUUCGAGUCCUCUCGCCGGCUCCA